CGCCUGUUUAACAAAAACAUGUCUUCUUGUUAUAUUUAGGAAGUCUGGCCUGCCCAGUGAAAAUAAUUUAACGGCCGCGGUAUCCUGACCGUGCAAAGGUAGCAUAAUCAUUAGUCUUUUAAUAGAGGGCUGGUAUGAAGGGUUUAACGAGGUGUUGACUGUCUCAUUUAAUUUGUGUUUAGAAUUUAAUUUUUUAGUUAAAAAGCUGAAAUAUUAUUGGAAGACGAGAAGACCCUAUAGAGCUUUAUAUUUUUAUUAUUAAUUUAUUAUGGAUUAUUAUUAUUUAUUAUUAAUAAAAGUAUUUUGUUGGGGUGACAAAAAUAUAUGAAUAACUUUUUUAUUUUAUUUACAUUGAUAUAUGAAUAUUAGAUCCAAUCUUAUUGAUUGUUAGAUUAAGUUACCUUAGGGAUAACAGCG
rnacentral:rRNA from 1 species